CAAUAGCAUAUAUUAACGUUGUUGCAGUUGAAAAGCUCGUAGUUGAACUUUUGGUAGGAGCGACCUGGCCUUGGGCGCAUGCCCUUGUUUGCCGUGUGUCGUAUCUGGCCAUCCUUUUCCGUUUCGGCGGGAAUCUUUUACUGUGAGUAAACUGGAGUGCUCAAAACAAGACGUUUGUUUGGUACAUUAAAGCAUGGAAUAAUAAGAUAGGACCUGGUUACUAUUUUGUUGGUUUGCAUAGCUAGGUAAUGAUUAACAGGGACAGUUGGGGGUAUUCGUAUUUAAUUGUCAGAGGUGAAAUUCUUGGAUUUAUGAAAGACGAACGACUGCGAAAGCAUUUACCAAGGAUGUUUNCAUUA
rnacentral:rRNA from 1 species